CUGUUAGCUGCCACAUCAUUGCCUUUUUUCCACUUCAUAUUUCAUGUAGCUACUGGUACCAAUUAGAUAGCUUGUGUUCAUGACAAUUCAGGAGUAUUUAAUGCAGCAUCCAAAAGCAACGGACAUAAUAUGAUUCUAAAUCGAAUUCAAUUCAUUUAAUACAUUCACUGUUCCACUUUAUUUUUCACCUACUUUUUCAACCUUUUUCCUGCUUUCAUCCUCUUCCCGUGCCAUUUUCAUUUCUUCAAUCUGAACAUCUCUUUCUCAACCUUCAAACUUCUUACCUCUCUCUCAUCUCUUUCUCAAUCUUCAAUCUCUAUCAAAUUUUCAUGCCAUUUCUCCACUCUUCUUUCGCAAUCCUCUUUCUCAAUCUUCUAUGUGUAGAUUUUGAUUUUCAUAUGCGAAAAUUAGUGGGUUAUUUGUUGAUUUUUUGAUGUUUUUCAACAAGUUACUUGCGGCUCUCAUCGUCAUCUUCAUUUGCUGCCUCCUGAACUCCAAGUCAAAGGAUGACUAGUACAAGAAGCAAGGAUGCAAAGCAAGCCAAUGAGUCAUAUUCAAGUAAUGAAGCAGAUUCAACAACAAAACAGAAGAUACAGAAACUUCAAGCAAAAUAAAGUCAGAUAGAAACUUGCAAACAGCUGACCUUGCAGCCCUCUUUCAGAUCAACCAGGAAAGAUUCAGUAGCCAUGCAAGGUGGAUUUGGAAUCUUGGGACUUUGCACCUAGGCCUUAGAACGUUGCCAUACAUCAUGCUAAACACACUAAAAAUUCAGCUGCGAAGGUCAGCCAGUCAUCAGGCAGCACAGAUCAAAACAAAACGGUUUUGCAAGCUUGUUCUGACCAGUAGUUAUAACACUAAUGAUCAAAGACAACAUGAGUACCUCCUAAAAACCCACAAACCAGUGCAUGAGAAGAUGAAGAAAGCAAUAGCAAGAUACAAACACAGAGCAAACUGAGGAGUAAAGCAGAGCAAACUGAUGCAACUUGGUGAUUUUGCAUGGAUCCUGCUCAAGCAAAGAAGGUUUCCUCACUUCAGGAAGCAUAAGUUAAAGCCCAAGGCUAUGGGGCCAUUUCAGAUAAUUAUUAAAUAUGGGGACAAUUCAAUAAGAUUGAAAAUAACAGAAAGAUUUGGCAAAUCUCCUACCUUCAAAGCCAAGGACUUAGCUCCUUACUUAGCGGAUGCUGAAUUGAGGACAGUUCCUUCUAAAGAAAGGGGGAAUGAACCAUAUUGGGAUGGUUCAAGGAUAACUAGUACAAGAAGCAAGGAUGCAAAGCAAGCCAAUGAGUCAUAUUCAAGUAAUGAAGUAGAUUCAACAACAAAACAGAAGAUACAGAAACUUCAAGCAAAACAAAGUCAGAUAGAAACUUGCAAACAGCUGACCUUGUAGCCCUCUUCCAGAUCAACCAGGAAAGAUUCAGUAGCCAUGCAAGGUGGAUUUGGAAUCUUGGUACUUGGGACUUUGCACCUAGGCCCAAGAACGUUGCCAUACAUCAUGCUAAACCCACUGAAUUCAGCUGCGAAGGUCAGCCAGCAAAGAUCAGAACAAAACGGUUUUCCAAGCUUGUUCUGACCAUCAGACCUAGCACACCUCAUCCAGAUCGCGUUUCAUGGUAUCUUGUACCACCAAGGGUAGAAAUGGAAUCUCUACACCAGACUCUUGCUACCAGGACUCUUAGUGACCAUUAUCAACCUUGGGAAGAGCACAAGAAAGUAGCGGGAAGGUCGCCUGGUCUUAAGCUAUUUGUCAAAAAUCAGAAUGUUUAGUUUAGUGAGUUUUUCAUGUCUUUUUAAUGUGCACAUGUUUUGCACGUGGCUUUAAAUGACCGUUAUAGUUAGUUAUACGUGUCCUUAGCAUUGUCAUUGUAUUUCCCUGUUCCCCAAGUCUAUAUAUAGACGUCCCUAGCCUUGUAAAACUAAGUUUUAAGUUUGGA